rnacentral:rRNA from 1 species
AGGGUAACCUGCGGAGUGAUCAUUA